rnacentral:rRNA from 1 species
UACGUAGGGUGCAAGCGUUAAUCGGAAUUACUGGGCGUAAAGCGUGCGCAGGCGGUUAUAUAAGUCAGAUGUGAAAUCCCCGGGCUCAACCUGGGCACUGCAUUUGAGACUGUAUGGCUAGAGUGUGUCAGAGGGGGGUAGAAUUCCACGUGUAGCAGUGAAAUGCGUAGAUAUGUGGAGGAAUACCGAUGGCGAAGGCAGCCCCCUGGGAUAACACUGACGCUCAUGCACGAAAGCGUGGGGAG